rnacentral:antisense_RNA from 1 species
CUGGGAGCUGGCUUGCCUGCGAUGGCGGUGGGUCAGUCAACAAACCUGUAUUUGACAGACUGCUAUCGCAGGCAAGCCAGCUCCGAC